rnacentral:lncRNA from 1 species
CUCUGUUCAACUAGCAUAGGUAAACCUUCAUUUUUCUUUUCCGAGAAGUCGGUUUAGUGACAGGGACUUAACAUGUGCUGAAGAGUUUGUAUGACAUGAACAAUAUUGGGGAAGAUUGAUUUGUUGGUCACGUGCAGGAUGGCUCAUGAUGAAAGACUGAACAGAGAGUAUCCAGAGGCAAUUGCUAUGCCCUAAUCAUGACGUAGGUGGGGCCGGAACUGGGGUGAGGAUGGAAAGAAUGGAUGUGAGAUCCCAGGACAGAAUGACUAAGAUGAUGAUGGUGGACAGGAGCCGGGAGAGAAGAGAGGUAUUUAAAAUGCUCUGGAAUUUCGAGUGUAGGUGCCUAGAGGAAUGGCGGUCUAUUAACAGAAAGAGGGAAGUAAGGAGGAGGAGGUGACCUUGAAGGAAAGCCACGUUGGGUUUGAAGUCAUCCAGGACCUACAGUUGCAAAGUCCCACCGACCUUUGGAAAUAAAAGGCGUUUCCUUUUUGUGUUUGGGCAUGCUAUCGGAAAGGCUGAGGGGCUCGCAUCUUUGAGCCGGAGGGUUCCUGGUCUGCGACAGGAUGGUCAAUAGCCUUUUGUCAUCUAGAACAUAAAGAAGAUCAAAAAGUUCAAGAGGCCAAGGCUAGAUUUUGCUCCUUUAUCAAACUCCCUGUGCAGCUCUAUGGCUGUGUAACACAGGCCACCAGGGACGUUUAGAAAGAGAGCAAAGGCACCACCAACUACUCAGUCGCACUUAAGGCUCCGAUUGUGAUUUAUCCGUGGCAAUAAUUCAAUCCAUACUCCUAAUUCAUGCAGCCUCUGGAAAGUCACUUCUCUUCCUUUGGGCUGAAAUUCCCUGCUCCACAAAACAAGUGCUUGUGUUAAGAACUCUCUAAAGUCUCUGGAUCUGAAAUAUACCACUGUUGAACUGCAUGUUUCUAUUAUUUGAUCAACAAAUACAUAAUAUGUAGUCAGUGUACUCAAAGUAUUAAGUUGCAUUUGUCAUUAAUUAAAAUCAUAAAAUCCG